UGCCAGACACAGAUACUACUGGAGCAGUUUCCUCCUUCAGAAGCGAAAGAAAUGGUCACAGAACCCCCCCCUUUUGAAUAAGCUGACGUAUGUCCCAGGAAGCUGUAGUUAAGUUUAAAAGCAGAAGGAAAUGCUCAGCGAAUCUUCUCUGGAACAUCAAAGAGAAGCAAAAGAGUAAAGGAAGAUGUUGUUUUCAGAUGAACCCAGGGUCGCGUGACUUGAGCCCUCUGGCCAGAUGGCUCCUAGACACC